rnacentral:rRNA from 1 species
CCUUGACAUCCAGAGAACUUAGCAGAGAUGCUUUGGUGCCUUCGGGAACUCUGAGACAGGUGCUGCAUGGCUGUCGUCAGCUCGUGUUGUGAAAUGUUGGGUUAAGUCCGCAACGAGCGCAACCCUUAUCCUUUGUUGCCAGCGGUUCGGCCGGGAACUCAAAGGAGACUGCCGGUGAUAAACCGGAGGAAGGUGGGGAUGACGUCAAGUCAUCAUGGCCCUUACGGCCAGGGCUACACACGCGCUACAAUGGCGCAUACAAAGAGAAGCGACCUCGCGAGAGCAAGCGGACCUCAUAAAGUGCGUCGUAGUCCGGAUUGGAGUCUGCAACUCGACUCCAUGAAGUCGGAAUCGCUAGUAAUCGUAGAUCAGAAUGCUACGGUGAAUACGUUCCCGGGCCUUGUACACACCGCCCGUCACACCAUGGGAGUGGGUUGCAAAAGAAGUAGGUAGCUUAACCUUCGGGAGGGCGCUUACCACUUUGUGAUUCAUGACUGGGGUGAAGUCGUAACAAGGUAGGCGUAGACGU